rnacentral:rRNA from 1 species
GACGAACGCUGGCGGCGUGCUUAACACAUGCAAGUCGAGCGGUAAGGCCCUUUCGGGGGUACGACGAGCGGCGAACGGGUGAGUAACACGUGGGUGACCUGCCCUCAGUUCUGGGAUAAGCCGUGGGAAACCGGGUCUAAUACUGGAUAUGACCUCAUGACGCAUGUUGUGGGGUGGAAAGCCUUGUGCGACUGAGGAUGGGCCCGCGGCCUAUCAGCUUGUUGGUGGGGUGAUGGCCUACCAAGGCGACGACGGGUAGCCGGCCUGAGAGGCGACCGGCCACACUGGGACUGAGACACGGCCCAGACUCCUACGGGAGGCAGCAGUGGGGAAUCUUGCGCAAUGGGCGAAAGCCUGACGCAGCGACG